UACGGGGGGGGCAAGCGUUGUUCGGAAUUACUGGGCGUAAAGGGCUUUUAGGUGGCCAACUAAGUCAGACGUGAAAUCCCUCGGCUUAACCGGGGAACUGCGUCUGAGACUGGAUGGCUUGAGUGUGGGAGAGGGAUGCGGAAUUCCAGGUGUAGCGGUGAAAUGCGUAGAUAUUGGGAGGAACACCAGUGGCGAAGGCGGCUCACUGGACUGGUACUGACGCUGAUGCGCGAAAGCGUGGGGAGCAAACAGG
rnacentral:rRNA from 1 species